AUGGUGGCGGGGGCGGCUGAGGCAGCUGUAGUGGCCCUGGAGGAGGUCAGCUCAGCCGGGUAGUUUGAGGAGCUGCUGUGCCUCAAAGCCAAGUCCCUCCUCGUGGUCCAUUUCUGGGCACCAUGGGCUCCACAGUGUGCACAGAUGAACGAAGUUAUGGCAGAGUUAGCUAAAGAACUCCCUCAAGUUUCAUUUGUGAAGUUGGAAACUGAAGGUGUUCUGAAGUAUCUGAAAAAUAUGAAAUUAGCUCUGUUCCCACUUUUCUGUUUUUCAAGAAUUCUCAGAAAAUCGACCGAUUAGAUGGUGCACAUGCCCCAGAGUUGACCAAAAAAGUUCAGUGACAUGCAUCUAGUGGCUCCUUCCCACCCCACGCUAAUGAACAUCUUAAAGAAGAUCUCAACCUUCGCUUGAAGAAAUUCACUCAUGCUGCCCCCUGUAUGCUGUUUAUGAAAGGAACUCCUCAAGAACCACGCUGUGGCUUCAGCAAGCAGAUGGUGGAAAUUCUUCACAAACAUAAUAUUCAGUUUAGCAGUUUUGAUAUCUUCUCAGAUGAAGAGGUUCGACAGGGACUCAAAGCCUAUUCCAAUUGGCCUACCUAUACUCAGCUCUACAUUUCUGGAGAGCUCAUAGGAGGACUUGAUAUAAUUAAGGAGCUAGAAGCAUCUGAAGAACUAGAUACAAUUUGUCCCAAAGCUCCCAAAUUAGAGGAAGGGCUCAAAGUGCUGACAAAUAAAGCUUCUGUGAUGCUCUUUAUGAAAGGAAACAAACAGGAAGCAAAAUGUGGAUUCAGCAAACAAAUUCUGGAAAUAUUAAAUAGUACUGGUGUUGAAUAUGAAACAUUCGAUAUAUUGCAGGAUGAAGAAGUUCGGCAAGGAUUAAAAGCUUACUCAAUUUGGCCAACAUUCCCUCAGCUGUAUGUGAAAGGGGAGCUUGUGGGAGGAUUGGAUAUUGUGAAGGAACUGAAAGAAAAUGGUGAAUUGCUGCCUAUACUGAGAGGAGAAAAUUAAUAAAUCUUAAACUUGGUGCCCAA